rnacentral:lncRNA from 1 species
CAAAAAGCAUUCAGGAAUAGUAAAUUUUUUUGAGAUGAGGGCAGAGCAUAAAGUUAGCCUUGCCUCAGUGAGACUGUGCAAUGCCAUGUGGUUACUGGAGCAAGGGUAUUCUUCAUCAUCUGUGGCAAUGAGAACCUCACUCCCUGCAGGAAUAUAGAUGCAUCGAAGUGCAGAGAGAUCCAGUGAAGCACCAUCAGCCACCCCAGCUACAACAGAACUCAUUUCUUCUAUAUAACAGAACAGGAAGGCUCCCAGGUCUCUUCACAAAAGCAAAGGAGAAAGUUGACAGGUGGAGUUAUAGUGGCCAUUAUGACUUCUUCCAGCAUGGUUCCAUCUAUUGUGACUAUUGGAGGAGGCCAGAGGUGAAGAGGGAAAGCAGUCAGAUAGGACCAACAUUUGAUAAAGCAGUAGAAAUGGAGCAUCUGCAAGCAGAGUUUCAUCAUCUAGAAAUCUGUGUGCUGGACUCAGGACUUGAAUUGUUUUGUGCACACAAUUGUAAAUGAAUGUCCAGAGGGGAACUUUGAAAAACAACCUGCCUGGAAGAUAGAAGCCACACCUUUCCCAUUCAAGGCAGUGCCUACCUUUUGUGAGAUCGGUACAGGCCUUCUGAACAGAGCCUGCUCGAAGAAACU